GCCGGGCGUGGUGGUGCAUGCCUGUAAUCCCAGCUACUCAGGAGGCUGAGGCAGGAGAACUGCGUGAACCCGGGAGGUGGAGGUUGCAGUGAGCCGAGAUCGCGCCACUGCACUCCAGCCUGGGUGACACAGCAGGACUCUGUCUCAA
ensembl:misc_RNA Metazoa_SRP Metazoan signal recognition particle RNA